rnacentral:lncRNA from 1 species
ACACUGCACGUACAGGUGCAGUGGCAAUUGCAGGCUAAGCCAAUUUGGCCAACCCACCCGCCCAGCCGGUCGUCAUGUUUGAACAUUGCUACGUCAAUUUUAUUUAACAAAUGAUAAGUUAGUGACAACUUUAUAAGUCAGAAAUCGUCUUGUAGAUUAUGAUUUUGUUCUUUCUUGGUUUUUUUUUCUUCAUGAUAUUGCAGGGAUUCGGGUCCUUCCCAAGAGCUCUAUAAGUGUGAGAUCCAUGCAUUCCUUGGUAUACAUGAGGUGGUCAGUGGUUUUUAGUUAAGGAAAUGCCUCCCAAUCAAUAGAUCUAAUCAUGAUCUAUAUAUGGUAUCAUACAGAAAGGUACGUACGUAUAUGUAUUAUAAAUCAGGGUGGUCUUUAUUCAUGCAUGUAUAUUAAUAAGCUUUAGCCAGACUUUGAGUUGGUUAAUACUUUAUAACAACACAUGAAAGUGAUAUAAUCAUCUCAGUUUUAUUAAAGUAAUUAAUGCUAUGGACAAACGGAGAAUUUUUUUAGAGUUGGGAGCUAAUAUAUACUACCCACUACCCACAAAAAUACAAUCUAUGUACCACAAAAGGAGGUUCAAAGUUAAUAAUUUAAGGUUAUAUAUUUGUUCUAUGGUUGCCUUUUAAUAUAAUAAUAUUUAGUUUAGUAUUAGAUAAUAAAAAUAAAAAUCUUUUUGUGAAAUUUUCUUUUAUUUCUUCCUUUUAUAUAUAAAUGUUAUCCUUUUUGUGGUACAUAGUGAGUGCACAAAUAUCAAUAUUCUAAUUUAUUAUUGAAUGCUCAAAUAUCACAUUUGUACUAAAUUAUUUAUAAAAUAAUAAAUUUAUUUAAUUCAACUAAAAAUCUUCUAUUAACUAAACUUAAGUAAUUUAUUACAUUUAUAUUUUAUAAGAAUUACUAACUAAACAAUUGUAAAAAGAUGUCCUAGCGUAUUUACCAUAUAAGAACCAAAACAAACACCGUUCCAUAUAAUUUAUUGUCAACACCCUCCAUCACAUCUGUCAAUUUACCUUGGCCACCUGGCCGCCAUAUAUUGCUCAACACAUAUCACGGUGCAUGGUGGUGAUGGGCAGACCAAGGGAGAACACUGAAAUUGAAAAUCAGGGUGAGAAAGAUUCAUUAAAUUGCUAAUUAAUCAAGGUGGGUAAGCCUUAGGGUUACUGGUUCCAAACAACUUAUAUUGUGCACACUUUUUUUUGUUUCAAUUUUUUUUUUCAAAUUUUAUCCACCAGAUGCAAUUCUUUCCUAUAGUAAUUGAAUAGAAAAAGGUUGGAUCCGUGUUUUAUUUUUCGAUUUAUCUACUAUGGCGGUAGUUGUGUUCUUUACACUUGAUCCAAAGAUUAGUCAUUUUUUUUAUAUGACUUGAUAAUGUUUCUGAAUCCAUUGUUUGUGCUUCAUUAAUAGUAAAACAUAUGCUCAUAAAAGGGGAAACCUAGUAACUUGAACUUAAGGUUUUCUUCCAUAUAUAGCUUCUGACAAGAACUUAAGGUUUUCACGAAUUUACUUGUUAUAUCUUGUUAAUUAGUGGUUAGGCAGUGACUGAAAACUGUCCUUAGAUGAAUUUAGCAUUACUGGAAACAACAACAACAACAACGACAACAAAGAUAAUACAACUUUGACAAAGACUAAAUUCAUGAUAAUGUACAAUUUCAGUCAUAAGAAAUGUACAAAACCUUUUUUUUUAUUUAUUUAAAAAAAGCCUAUAUUCUGAUCUAGAGAAAAGGGGAAAAUGGUUGCUGCAUCUUACUCUAUGUGAGACUUGAAGUAUGCCCAAGAAUAUGAUAUAAGAUUCGUCAACCAAAUAAGUUUUGAUUGCCGCUCUUAUUUAGUUUUACUCAACAAUAACUAAAAGUUCCCACCCUCCUUCCUCCCUUCCUUUUACACAUAGUAUGGUAACUCUCAUAUAUAUAUAUAUAUAGGGAUAUGAUCCAUAGCAAGUAUUUGCCCCCAAGCCACCAGGAGUUUAUGUAGGCUACUCAACUAUCAACAAACAAGGUAUAUGUUGCCCAUAAAAAAACCACCAGUUAGAGUUUACGUACGCUACUCAAUUAUCAACAAACAAGAAAAACAUAAAUAAAGUUAGAAUUUUGGAAAAAGAACCGACAUGUAAAUCUCCAGUACUGCAAACCCUUCUCAUUUGGCCAGAAGAGGAGCUCAAGACUUGGGUAUGGAAAUUAGGAGACUCCAUAAGACUAUCAAGCCGAGGUUGGAACAAGAAACUGGGCUUCCCAUCAAAACUG